rnacentral:rRNA from 1 species
CGGACGGGUGAGGAACGCGUGAGAACCUGCCUCAAGGUCGGGGACAACAGUUGGAAACGACUGCUAAUACCGGAUGAGCCGAAUAGGUAAAAGAUUUAUCGCCUAGAGAGGGGCUCGCGUCUGAUUAGCUAGAUGGUGAGGUAAAGGCUUACCAUGGCGACGAUCAGUAGCUGGUCUGAGAGGAUGAGCAGCCACACUGGGACUGAGACACGGCCCAGACUCCUACGGGAGGCAGCAGUGGGGAAUUUUCCGCAAUGGGCGAAAGCCUGACGGAGCAUACCGCGUGAGGGAGGAAGGCUCUUGGGUUGUAAACCUCAAAACUUAGGGAAGAAAAAAAUGACGGUACCUAAUGUAAGCAUCGGCUAACUCCGUGCCAGCAGCCGCGGUAAUACGGAGGAUGCAAGCGUUAUCCGGAAUCAUUGGGCGUAAAGAGUCCGUAGGUGGCACUUCAAGUCUGCUUUCAAAGACCGAAGCUCAACUUCGGAAAGGGAGUGGAAACUGAAGAGCUAGAGUAUAGUAGGGGUAGAGGGAAUUCCUAGUGUAGCGGUGAAAUGCGUAGAGAUUAGGAAGAACACCAGUGGCGAAGGCGCUCUACUGGGCAUAUACUGACACUGAGGGACGAAAGCUAGGGGAGCGAAAGGGAUUAGAUACCCCUGUAGUCCUAGCGGUAACGAUGGAUACUAGGCGUAGUGCUGUUAGAAAGGACUGUGCCGAAGCUAACGCGUUAAGUAUCCCGCCUGGGGAGUACGCACGCAAGUGUGAAACUCAAAAGGAAUUGACGGGGACCCGCACAAGCGGUGGAGUAUGUGGUUUAAUUCGAUGCAACGCGAAGAACCUUACCAAGGCUUGACA